UUGCAGGCCUGUGUUGAGGUCCUUUGUUUAACUAAGCAAAGAGGUUCUCCUCCAACACUCACAACCCUAUAUAACCCCCCCCGCACAAUCCAACCCCCCUCAACACCCACCCCAAAGACACACACAUGUAUAACUCCUCUACUUAGAUAUUGCUAUACCUACAAAAGGCUACAUCCACAUAAAUCUGGAUAAACAAAUCUUUUACUCUACGUUUUGGCUUUCCAUCCACAUUCAUGUCCACUUUAAUCCGGAUAGAUCUGAAAUUUUAUUUUCGUUUUUUAAAUGUUCUCCAUCUACACUGGCAUUUUCAAACGUUUUCCAAAAAUUGCUCGUUCACACUGAAACGUCUGAAAAUGCUCGCAUCCCUAAACUGCACACGUGUAAAAACGUAAGAAGCUUAUUUCCGUCACGUGUUUAUUUAAAAGUGACAUUAAUCUUUAACAAAGCUAUCAGACUGGAAAGCAGGCACAACAACUGCAGUUCAACAUCGUCCACCAGCUUGUUUGUUUUGAGUUGAAUGGGUCACAUGACUGUGUCACGUGACUAAAAAUACCUCAUUGGUUUUGAGUCUCUCUGUUUUCUCAGUCCACAGUACAAUGCGAAAACAGCAUUUUCAGAUUUAUCUGCUCGGGAGAGCAUUUUCGAAAAGCUCUGUUAGUCAUGUGAUGCAGUCAUGUGACCCAAUCAACUCGAAACAAACAAGCUGGUGGACGAUGUUGUACUGUGUCACAGAUAGAGUAGAAGUGGAUGCAAUUGCAGUUACAAGAUGCUGUUUAUUAGAAAAAAAACAUGCAGAUAAUCCAAAGGGUAAUGCAGAAUCGAUAACAAAAAAACAGGCAAAGGGUCAGGUGAUGAACAAACAGAAUGAACUGGGCAAGGCACAAACUCACAAAAAUGCUGCACAGAAAAAGGGUCUAAAACGGUAGAAUCAAUCACGAUAUAGAAGGCUUGGUAAUGACAGAACACAAGCCCCACAUGAAUUUAUGGAGAUACUAGAGAUCCAGAUCCUUUCUGCCUCUGGAUGGAGCUCAAAUCUUCUCCAAUUCCAGACUGCUGGGACUACGGCUGCUCCUAAGGCCAUACAGACUUCAUAUAAAUCCAUAAUGAACUUUUUCACACUAUCUGUUGUUACCCAGAUGAGGAUGGGUUCCCUUCUGAGUCGGGUUCCUCUCAAGGUUUCUUCCUCUUAAAACAUCUUAGGGAGUUUUUCCUUGCCACCGUCGCCACUCAGUGGCUUGCUCAGUUGGGAUAAAUUCGCACCUUUAAUAUCUGUAUACCAUGUUGAUAUUUCUGUAAAGCUGCUUUGAGACAAUGUCUAUUGUAAAAAGCGCUAUACAAAAAUAAAAUUGAAUUGAA